AACAUGAAUACCCAACUAUUUUGUUUGUUUAUUAAUGAGAUGUUAUAUCACGCUGUUUUUUCAUCUUUCCAGACCUCUUAAUAAAACUCUAUGGAAAGGUUAGGAUCAAAAACUACAAGUCCUUCCAUUCCAUUAGUACCGAAUGCUACCUUUGGUUUAGACCUACCAUAUAACAAGACCCCACAGGCUGAAUGGAACAGUAAAUUUAUACCCAUGCAGACAGUUACGAACUCAACCAGCAAACCUAGGCAUGAAC
rnacentral:lncRNA from 1 species